rnacentral:rRNA from 1 species
GCGAAAAGCUUUCGGGCUGAGUAGAGCGGCGGACGGGUGCGUAACGCGUGGGAAUCUACCUUGUAGUGGGGGAUAGCCCGGAGAAAUCCGGAUUAACACCGCAUAAUCUCUACGGAGGAAAAGGGGCCUCUCCUUGGAAGCUCUUGCUAUUAGAUGAGCCCGCGUUAGAUUAGCUAGUUGGUGAGGUAAUGGCUCACCAAGGCAACGAUCUAUAGCUGGUUUGAGAGGAUGAUCAGCCACACUGGGACUGAGACACGGCCCAGACUCCUACGGGAGGCAGCAGUGGGGAAUAUUGGACAAUGGGCGAAAGCCUGAUCCAGCAAUACCGCGUGUGUGAAGAAGGCCUGAGGGUUGUAAAGCACUUUCAAUAGGGACGAAAUGUUUAGAGUUAAUAACUCUGAAUCCUGACUUAACCUAUAGAAGAAGCACCGGCUAACUCCGUGCCAGCAGCCGCGGUAAUACGGAGGGGGCUAGCGUUGUUCGGAAUUACUGGGCGUAAAGCGUACGUAGGCGGAUCAGAAAGUAUGGGGUGAAAUCCCAGGGCUUAACCCUGGAACUGCCUCAUAAACUCCUGGUCUUGAGUUCGAGAGAGGUGAGUGGAAUUCCAAGUGUAGAGGUGAAAUUCGUAGAUAUUUGGAGGAACACCAGUGGCGAAGGCGGCUCACUGGCUCGAUACUGACGCUGAGGUACGAAAGUGUGGC